GGCAAGGUGGCAGAGUGGUUAUGCAGCGGCCUGCAAAGCCGUUGACACGGGUUCGAUUCCCGUCCUUGCCU
rnacentral:tRNA from 1 species